rnacentral:lncRNA from 1 species
UUUUUUUUCUUUUUUUUUUAGAUGGAGUCUUGCUCUGUCACUCAGGCUGGAGUGCAGUGGUGUGAUCUUGGCUCACUGCAACCUUCGCCUCCCAGGUUCUAGUGAUUCUCCUGCCUCAGCCUCCUGAGUAGCUGGGAUUUCAGGCGUGUGCCACCAUGCCCAGCUAAUUUUUGUAUUCUUAGUAGAGAUGGGGUUUCACCAUGUUGGUCAGGCUGGUCUCAAACUCCUGACCUCAUAAGCCUCCCACCUUGGCCUCCCAAAGUGCUGGGAUUAUAGGCGUGAGCCACCACGCCCAGCCUGGUUUAUUUUCUAGAAUUCUCCACUUAUGGUGCUUUCAAAGGGAAGCAUUGCAUAUGUUAACCGGCCAUUCUCACUGUGGAACAUGAUCUGCUGCCACCUCUGACACUGGCACAGGAGAAAAGAGACAGGUGGGAGUUCCUGGAACCACCGAAUCUGAAAACUGCAUGAGAACUUGAGGCUUGUGAGAGCUGCAAGGAUAGAGCUGAGGUCCCCAGAAGCAGGAGGAACCCUUGUGGUUUGGAGAAGCACGCAGCUCGAUGACAAAGUCAAUGGUGAAAUUUCAGUUCUGGCCAGCACCACAAGACUGGACUCUCCUUGGUCUCUGGGACUCCCUUGGAGUCCCCAGGAUCAUGUAGGGACAGUGGCAGCCAGGCUGACUAUAGAAGCUUAGAACGCCAUGUUGGCCUCACAUGCCUAGCGGCGUGAAAAGAUUAGGGUGUAGAAAUAGAAGAAACAUUCAGAAAUGUUUCUAUGGUUCAAUACCACUUGGACACUACCACCGGCACCAUUCCCUAUCAAUUCAGCAAACCCCCAUCACCAAAAGAACUCACAUCCCGGAAUUAAAUAGGGAGGACCAUUACGAAGAGAGGGGAAGGAAGGAAUUUGAUGUUUUGUCCUUAUGAAGUUCUAUCUGGUGAUGGCAUCCCCCGCUCCACCCACGGCAGGAGCCCUUGUGUAUACAUAGCCAUCCCGUCAAUGUGUGAAGGCCUUGAGUGGCAUCAGGGCUCUCUUGAUGUUUCAGUGCCAGACAUACUGCUCAGACUUAUACAUAUCUUCCCCAGCUUCCAGAAUGUAGCCAUCAACGUAGGGAGCAUACCAAGACUACACAAACCCUAACUGUCAGGAAAGUAAAGAACUCCACCUCUAGCUAGCUAAACCCCAAUCGCAAAAGGACACAACAAAACGUGGGGAAGAAGAAGUGAAGCCCGGGCACAGUGGCUCACGCCUGUAAUCCCAGCACUUUGGGAGGCCGAGGCAGGAGGACUGCUUGAUCCCAGGAGAUGGAGACCAACCUAGACAACAUAGAGGGACCCUGUCUCCACGA